rnacentral:lncRNA from 1 species
CGAGUGCUGCGUUCGGCUGUGCUGGGAAGUUGCGUAGACAGUGGCCUCGAGACCCUGCCUGCCUGAGGAGGCCUCGGUUGGAUGCGAAGGAGCUGCAGCAUCCAGAGACUAUGGAAGAGAGUACCUGGAUCUAGUUUAUUCCAAAGACAGACAAGCAGUUUGUGCCUCCACUCCAGGAUGACUAACUACAACGAUUACACGUAAAAAGACAAAACAAGGCCGGGCGCGGCGGUUCACGCUUGUAAUCCCAGCACUUUGGGAGGCCGAGGCAGGCGUAUUACGAGGUCAGGAGAUCGAGACCUUCCUGGCUAAGACGGUGAAUCCCCGUCUCUACUAAAAAUACAAAAAAUUAGCCGGACAUGGUGGCGGGCGCCUGUAGUUUCAGCUACUCGGGAGACUGAAGCAGGAGAAUGGCGUGAACCCGAGAGGCGGAGCUUGCAGUGAGCUGAGAUCGCGCCACUGCACUCCAGCCUGGGCGACAGAGCGAGACUCCGUCUCAA